UCAGACUGCACGAGAUAAGUUGGGUAGUCAAAAGGGAAAGAGCCCAGACCUACAGCUAAGGUCCCAAAGUAUGUGUUCAGUGGAAAAGGAUGUGAGAUUUCAGAGACAACUAGGAUGUUGGCUUAGAAGCAGCCACACAUUCAAAGAGUGCGUAAUAGCUCACUAGUCGAGAGGUCUUGCGCCGAAAAUGUCCGGGGCUAAAACACAACACCGAAGCUUAGGAAUGUAGCAAUACAUUGGUAGAGGAGCAUUUUUAUAGGCGUAGAAGCUGUACCGAUAAGGAGCAGUGGAGUAAUAAAAAGAGAGAAUGCCGGAAUGAGUAGCGAGAUGAAGGUGAGAAUCCUUCAGGCCGAAUAUCUAAGGUUUCCAGAGUAAAGCUGAUCUGCUCUGGGUAAGUCGGGACCUAAGGCAAGGUCGAAAGACGUAGUCGAUGGACAACAGGUUUAGAUUCCUGUACCGCUUAUUAUCAGAAAUGUGGGGACACAGAGACGUAUCCAAACCCAGGAAUGCAAAGACUGGGGCAAGCCAAGUACUGGUAUGGCAGGAAAAUCCGCCAUGCAACAGGAAUAGGUGAUGCGGACCGAAAUCAAGUAGGGAAGUUGGAGAAGGAGCUGUCAAGAAAAGCCGCUAUUGUGUAAUAAGUGCCCGUACCGUAAACCGACACAGGUGGAUGAGGAGAGAAUCCUAAGGCCGGCGGGAGAAGCAUUGUUAAGGAACUCGGCAAAAUGACCCCGUAACUUCGGGAGAAGGGGUGCCAUCCUCCGGGAUGGCCACAGAAAAUAGGCUCAAGCAACUGUUUAGCAAAAACACAGGUCUAUGCGAAACCGAAAGGUGAGGUAUAUGGGCUGACGCCUGCCCGGUGCUGGAAGGUUAAGAGGAGAAGUCAGGCAACGAAGCUUUGAAUUGAAGCCCCAGUAAACGGCGGCCGUAACUAUAACGGUCCUAAGGUAGCGAAAUUCCUUGUCGGGUAAGUUCCGACCCGCACGAAAGGCGUAAUGAUUUGAGCGCUGUCUCAACAAUGCACCCGGUGAAAUUGAAGUACCAGUGAAGAUGCUGGUUACCUGCGCCAGGACGGAAAGACCCCAUGGAGCUUUACUCUAGUUUGAUACUGGGAUUCGAUUAUACCUGUACAGGAUAGGUGGGAGGCGAAGAAGCAAGGACGCCAGUCUUUGCAGAGCCGCUGUUGGGAUACCACCCUUGUAUGAUUGGAUUUCUAACCUGCGCCCGUGAUCCGGGUGGGGGACACUGUCAGAUGGGGAGUUUGACUGGGGCGGUCGCCUCCGAAAGGGUAUCGGAGGCGCUCAAAGGUUCCCUCAGAAUGGUCGGAAACCAUUCAAAGAGUGCAAAGGCAGAAGGGAGCUUGACUGCGACACCGACGGGUGGAGCAGGUACGAAAGUAGGACUUAGUGAUCCGGUGGUAUAAAGUGGGAUUGCCAUCGCUCAACGGAUAAAAGCUACCCUGGGGAUAACAGGCUUAUCACUCCCAAGAGUUCACAUCGACGGAGUGGUUUGGCACCUCGAUGUCGGCUCAUCGCAUCCUGGGGCUGAAGUCGGUCCCAAGGGUUGGGCUGUUCGCCCAUUAAAGCGGUACGCGAGCUGGGUUCAGAACGUCGUGAGACAGUUCGGUCCCUAUCCGGCGUGGGCGUAAGAUAUUUGAGAGGAGCUGUCCUUAGUACGAGAGGACCGGGAUGGACUGACCGCUGGUGCACCUGUUGGGGAGCAACCCCAUCGCAGGGUAGCCAAGUCGGGCCGGGAUAAACGCUGAAGGCAUCUAAGCGUGAAGCCCCCCUCAAGAUGAGAUAUCUCAUACGCAAGUAGUAAGACCCCUUGA
rnacentral:rRNA from 1 species